rnacentral:misc_RNA from 1 species
UGGUGAUGGCGGGCGGGUGUCCCCAGGCAGUGGUGAAUAAGGAGUGAGGCAGAGGCCAACAUGAAGACAUGGAGGGCAUCGAAUACAGCACCCAGCCCUUUGAGGAGCUGUACGAGGUGUUUGAGGAGAUCGGCAGCGGUCAGUUUGCAGUGGUGCGCCGGUGUGUGGAGAAGGCCACUUGCAAUGAAUAUGCAGCCAAGUACAUUCGCAAGCGACGUGUUGCCUCGUCCCGGCGUGGGUUGCCCUUGGAGGCCAUUGCUCGGGAGGUGCGGGUCCUGCAAAGGCUCGACAAACACCAGAAUAUCAUUUCCCUCCACCAAGUGUUUGACAACGGUCAACAUGUAAUCCUGGUGCUGGAGCUGGUGCGGGGUGGUGAGCUGUUUGAGCAUAUCAGUGAGCGGGAACGUCUCUCGGAAGAGGAAGCUUCAGCCUUCUUGCACCAGAUUUUGCAGGGACUGAGCCACAUGCACUCCAAGGGCAUUGCUCACCUCGACCUCAAGCCUGAAAAUGUUUUGUUACUGAGCAAGAAUCGACAGCACAUCAAGCUGAUUGAUUUUGGUCUGUCCAGGGAGAUCACUAAGGCGGAGGAAGUGCGGGACUUGAUGGGGACGGCAGAGUUUGUGGCACCGGAGAUUGUCAACUAUGAACCGCUGUCUCUGGCCACUGAUAUGUGGGCCAUUGGGGUCAUUACCUAUAUCUUGCUGUCCGGUGCGUCACCUUUCCUCGGGGACAGCCAGCAAGAGACCUUCAAUAACAUAACAGCUGUGGACUAUUCCUUCGAUGCAGAGUACUUCUCCAGCACUUCAGACCUUGCCAAGAACUUCAUCUGUAGUCUGCUGCUGAAGGAUGCAAGGAAGCGCAUGACAGCCGAGCAGACCCUGAAGCACCCCUGGAUGAGCCCUCAGUCCAGCCAGCAGGAGGAGGAAAGGCGGUAUGCACAAACCAACAUGGACAACUUCAAGUCCUACCAAGCAAGGCGUCGCUGGAAGCACUCGGUGAGGGUAGUGACACUGUGUAACCGGCUGUCCAGGAGUGCCAAGCUGAGGAGCCAGAGUGCUGAGCUGCUGGACACACGCUCAAGUGCCAUAACAUUGCAGGAGGACCAGGACUCCAGCUUUGUGCUCUCAGCGAUGGUGGCGGCUGUGGAGGAAGGAAACCUGCCAGGACUAGAGAAGCUGUUCACUGUGGCCCAGAAUAUUGAUGUUAAUAUGGCUAACAAGCAUGGAGAGAGUGCCAUCCACCUGUCAUGUGGCCUGGGGCAGCUGGACGCCCUCAGAUUCCUGGUGAAGAAGGGAGGAGGGAUAGAGGCCACUGAUGCCCAGGGAGACACACCCCUCCACUGGGCUGCCCGCCAGGGUCAUGCACACAUCAUUGCUUACCUAAUUGAGCAAGGAGCACAAAUUAACACACAGAAUAAGAAUGGGGAGACCUGUCUGCACGUGGCCUGCCGCUAUGGACACACAAUGGUGGUGCAGAACCUGUGCCUGUGCAACAUGAACAUUGACCUCCAGGACGACCAUGGAGAGACAGCGCUGCACAUUGCAGUCUGGCACGGCUUCCCUCGCAUCGUCCACCACUUGUGUUCUGCCUCGGCCAACACUGAGCUGACUGACAAGGAGAGCCAGACACCGCUGCACGUGGCCAGUGGGCGGGGCCAUGUGGAAUGUGUGCGUGGCCUGGUGGGUUCCGGUGCUUGCGUGGAUUCCCAGGAUGCCCAUGGUGCCACGCCAAUCCAUCAUGCUCUGGCCCGCCACCACAUUCAGACAGCACGCAUUCUCCUCCAUGCCGGCGCCAACACUGACAUUACUGAUGAUUUGGGAGAGGCACCGAUCCAUAUUGUAGCCAGGGAGGGAUUACUCUCCUUGGCGCAGACCCUGUGUGCUUUUGGGUGCUGUGUUGAUGUGCCCAACAAGACUGGCCUGUACCCCUUGCACCUAGCAGCCAAGCACGGCCACACAGAGCUGGUCCGGUGUCUGUGUCUGGCAGGGUGCACUGUGGAGCAGAAGAGCCGUGAGGGCAUCCUGGCAGAGGUAUCGGCAAUGGCCCAAGGAUACGAUGACAUAGCGGACCUUCUCAACAGACUCAGAGGGGAGCAGCAGAGAGAAGAGUACAUCCAACAGCUGAUCCCGAGUCCUGCCUCCAUCCCACGCAUCAAAGUGAAGUUCCUGGGUCACUCUGGCGCCGGCAAGACAGCUCUUGUGGACACCCUCAAGACUGGCUACUUCUCCUCCUUCUUUCGCAGGAGCAAGAGCAGCACCUCCACCACAUCGAUCGGCUCUGUUGGAAAGAGUUCCUCCACCAUGAAGGGACACUUUGAAAUGGAGUCGCCUCUCAGCUCCCGCCAGAACUCCCUCACGUUUGAGCCAUGUGAGAACUACACCAAAGGCAUUGAUGUCCAGCAGGUCACCAUUUCUGGGGUCGGGGAGCUGUCACUGUGGGAGUUCUCAGGUCAUGAGGCGUACUUCCCUGUGUAUGACCACUUCAUUGGCAACACCUCCUGUGUCCACCUGGUGGUGUUCUCCCUCAACCAGCCCUUUGAUGUGCAGCUCCAGCAGUGCUCCUUCUGGCUGUCUUUCCUGCAGGCUCGCAUCCCUCCGAUGGAACCACUCAACAUGCGAGGGAAGCCUAGCAAGCCAGCAAAGGUGGCCCUUGUUGGUACACACGCUGACACAGCCCAGUGCCACCGCAACCUUCAGGGAGAGUUUGUUGCUCCACAGGUUCACCUGCUGCAGGAGAAGCUGCUGGACCUGUUUGGGGAUGUGUUUGAGGUGCACGACACAGUGUUUGUGAUGGAUGCCACAGCUCCUGGGUCAGCCGCCAGCCGAGCCCUCAAGCAGUACCUGGCUGACUGCAAGGCCAAGGUCACCCAGGGCUGGAGCGGGGCCAGUGUGGCGUAUGCUGUGGGUGCGGCAGUAAGCGGGGAUGGCUAUACAAUCCUGCAGCCUGACUCAUGUGAGGGGGUGCCUCGAGUCACAGGGUUCCUGGGAGCGGUGGUGACAACGCUGGCAGAGUGGAGGGCCUCACUGGGGGAGUUCCCAGUUGUGUCUUGGCCGCAGUUUGUUGAUGUGACCCACCAGCGAGUCAAUCCAUUGGCUGGGGAGGAGCAUCUUCGUGAGGUGGUACAGCAGCUGCAGUUGAUGGGGGAGGUGGUGUACCUGAAAGCAGAGGCACAAGACUUGGUGGUGCUGGACCCAGCCUGGCUCACUCACCAGCAGAUUGGUCACUUGCUCUCAACACAGUAUGCAGCCCAUGCCAGAGUCACAGGCUGCUACACUGUGGACGACUUCCAGAUGAGCUUCCCAGAGUGUGAUGCUUUAGACCUACUGCAGGUGCUGGAGGCAUUGCACCUCUGUACUCAGUGUGAUAAUGACGGUGAAAUAGAGUAUGAAUUCCCAUGCUUCAACCAAGUGGAGACGCUGGAUGGCCUGUGGGAGAAGGUGGACCCGCGUUACACUGACGGUGUGUAUGGGGGUGUGCGCCUCCGCUCCCCGGCACCCACGCAGUACAUCCUGCCUCCCAUAUACAUCCGCCUCCAGGUUCAGCUGCGGAGGUCAUGGCAGGAGUACCCAGAGAGAGACACAGAUCUCUACCAGUGGUGUGGAGGCUCCAAGUUCUGCUCUGGUCCCCUGGAGGCUCUGCUCACAGUGGAGGAGGGUGGGGAGGCCAUAGAGCUAAAGGUGCGCGGUCCUCCUGAGUCUGGCCCCGUUGCCUUCUUCUUCAUGGAGGACCUCCUAGCCAUGAUUGAUCAGGUCUUGGUUGAGAUGUGUCCCGGACUGGUGCUGGAGAAACACGUGUUGAGCUCGGAGCAGCUGGCAGCACAUGCUGCCACGGUGUAUGCCUGGCCCCCUGCUGACAUAUACACAGCCCUGCUUAGUGGUGGUGUGCAGGCCACUCUUGCCAACCCUAUCACAGCCAAGGAAGAGACAUUCACCAGCUUAGUCUGUUUUGGGUCUCAGGAUGUGGUGUCCAGCCUGGUGGUGGGGGGUGAUGUGCACAUCUCCAGCCUCUGCACUGUCACUGUCCAGCGCUUGGCAGCACUCAUGGAUCCCCCACAUCCAAGGGGCUCUGACUGGUGUGUUCUGGCAGUAAAGCUUGGUCUGCAGCAGCUCCUCCCUUCCCUGGACACAAGUGGUGGUGCUUCCCAACACUCCCCCACUGCCACCCUCCUGCACUCCUGGGGCCAGACCUCUGCAGCAACACUGGGCAAGCUGGUGACAGAGCUGCGAGGGAUGGAGCGAGAGGAUGCGGCCGUGGUGGUGAUGUGUGGUGCUCCCCUGUACCAGUUGGCUCCCCCAGAUGAGGACACCACCUCAGAUUCCCCUCCCAUCUCCUCCACCUCAGCCACCUCUACCUCCAACCUGUCCAGAUGAGGUGGCUCGGAGUCCCCGCCCGUCACCUGGCUCACCCCGCACCCCCUGUGGUGAUGGCGAUGGGUGUGGUGAUGGAAACCUUGUAGCUAUUUAGCCUCUGUUUGCAGUUGUUGAAUUUUUAUGUGUGCAUCAGAGAGUAGUUAUGUAGCUAUUGUUUUCCAGGAUUGGUGUUGAAACUUAAGGGUUUUUUUUCCAGUAUUUAUUUCAUGGUGCAGCACAAGGUAGCUUCAGGCUCUUAGUUCUGUGCUCUCUUCGCUGAACAUAAGUGGCUUGGAAUACAUCACACGUUCAAGCAGAAAUGUUCUUUUUCGUAGUUUAUUAGUUCCAGAUUAUUGUUAUUGUUAUUUGUAUUUGGAGCUGGGAUGAUGGAUUCUCUGUUUAACAAUCCUAGAACUUUGCACGAACUUUCUCUAUCUCUAUCAGCAGGACAAGCUGUGCAAUCAGCAGACUGUGAAUCACAUCUGCUGGGGUGAUGAGUGCCAAUCUUUACAUUUAUAUUAUGGCGUGCUUGAACCCUGUGAAGUGUGUGUGUGUGUGUGUGUGUGUGUGUGUGUGUGUGUGUGUGUAUGUGUGUGUGUGUGU